UUUCCCUAUCGGCAUCCUGGCAAGGUGCUUUUUUUGCAGAACACCAGCUGUCUUAAGUACUUCAAAGACAAGUGCCUUUUCCAACACCAGAAGGAUGUGGAUUCAUUGAUUUUACAGAUGCCAGACUGACAUUCUGCAGAGCUAAGGAGAUGGAUAUGUUACAGUCAGCCCCAGCUGAUUGGAGAUUUGGGUGAAUGGCUUCAGGACUCCUGGGUGGGGGAAGAAGCUGGGCCCACUGGUGCCUGAAGGAUGUCGAUUAUUUAAAAUCCCUGAUGCUCCUCGGCUUACACAGAGCCCUCUCUGGAAGGAAAAGAGAAGUUCUUCAGUGAUAAAACCAGGGACCAAGGGAGAAGGAGCACUUAUUUUCCAGCCUUUUCAUGCUUCCUGUAUGGCCAUCAGCAAGUCACCCGUUGGGUCUCUGUGAAAGGCAGGAGGGCCCACAUUAUUUCACAAAACUUCUCUUUAGAGCUAAGUUGUGAAUCUGCUUCCUCUGCACCUGCAGGACAGAACUAAGCGGCAGAGUGCAGCAUCACCCACAAGGGAAGAUACAUCUACCUGGAGGCACUGCUGCACGGAGGCGCUCCAUGGGGAUUCACGCUGAAGGGCGGGCUGGAGCACGGAG